UCCACACAGCUGAAUAAAAUCCCACAUUAUCUGCUUUAAACUGGGAUAUAUGGCAGUGUGGACUCAGAUAACCCAGUUCAAAGUAAAUAUUGUGGGAUUUUCUGCCUUGAUAUUCUAUGAUAUAGGGCAGUAUUAGAACACCAAGCAAAGUUGUUUCAGUCUAUUCUGCAUCACUUAAAGAACAACUUCGCAAAACUAAUUGAGUUGACUAAAGGGAGAGCCAAAAAAUGUUAGAUUUCAUAAAAAUGUCAUUAUAACAUAAUAGUUGAGGAGGAGGACAAACACUGAAUUGAGAUUAAAUUUAUGCCACCAAAUUGAUAGAUUUCUGGAAUAUUACUUUUUAAAAAACUUACACACAUGCGUUAACCCAAAGAACAUCUACUAAACUCCACAGCUGCUUUAUGAGAAAACAAUUUAUCAUUGUUGACAGUAUUAUGAGCUAUUGUGUUGCUGAAGAAAAAUAUUGCUUGAAGGCAUAGGAAUGAAUAUGUUCUUCAUUUUCUGAAAGAUUUGAAUUACGUUUGAUGGAGAUCAUUAUUUCUUCCUUCUUAUAGCUGUGAGCUUUCAUCUCUGUAAGUGGACUUACAUUUGAUGGAAUUAGAAUUGUACUAUUGCAUAAUGUUUGCAUCUAGUAGAGGACUGCUGCUACAUUACUGCGUAGCAAAGCCAACAAAGUUCCCAAUGUGCAUUGCUGCACAAUGUACACUGGUGUAAAAUGUUCACGAAUGUGCCACCAAUUUUCAAUGGCUCCACUGCAUGUCCUUCUUUAUUCCCAUCUAGCAUUUUCAUUCUGCUCUUCAGCUGGAAAAGUUCUCAGAGCACUGUACAUAUCUAUACAAACAAAAGACAAGAUAGUUGCUAUUGUCAUGCUUACAACUUUAAUAAUAAUCAUCAUCAUCAUCAUCAUCAUCCCAGGUGACAGUCGCAUUGACAAAAAACAACAGGAAAAACUCAGCCGCUAUCAGGACCUCAAGAUUGAACUUCAGAGACUCUGGCAGAAACCAGUGCAGGUGGUCCCAGUGGUGAUCGGCGCAUUGGGUGCCGUUCCAAAAGAUCUCAGCCGGCAUUUGGAAACAAUAGACAUUGACAAAAUUACGAUCUAUUUUAUUAUGACACAGCAAACAAGAUAAAUAUGCUGGAUUUCAUAUCACAAAAUCACAAGUCGAACACUUCCCAAGUGUCUAGGACUGUGUGAUGUAUUUUCGGAUGAUGCGCGCAGAUCCCAGCAGGGUGGCCUUUUGCAGUUGGCAGAUCAUAAUUUUGUCAAUGUCUAUUGUUUCCAAAUGCUGUCUGAGAUCUUUUGGCACGGGACCCAGUGUGCCGAUCAUCACCAGGACCACCUGCACUGGUUUCUGCCAGAGUCUUUGAAGUUCAAUCUUGAGGUCCUGAUAGCGGCUGAGUUUUUCCUGUUGUUUUUCGUCAAUGCAACUGUCACCUGGGAUGGCAACAUCAAUGAUCCAAACCUUUUUCUUUUCCACAACUGUGAUGUCUGGUGUGUUGUGUUCCAGAACUUUGUCAGUCUGGAUUCGGAAGUCCCACAGUAUCUUUGCAUGUUCAUUUUCCAAUACUUUUGCAGGUUUGUGAUCCCACUAGUUCUUUGCUGCUGGAAGGUGGUAUUAUUAUUAUUAUUAUUAUUAUUAUUAUUAUUAUUAUUAUUAUUGGUAAAAUACAAUUUGAUGGCCUGAAUGGGCUACAUUUUCCUUCAAAUAAAACAUGCAACAAACACUGACCUUUCUAAUGAUUUGUAACAAGUUCCACUGUUUUUUAAAAGUAAAAAUAGUGACAUGGUCGUUCCUUAAAAUAGUUUGACCACAUUGUAGUCUGUGCGAAGAGGGUCACAUAAUCUAUGCUAAGAGGGUCACUUGUAGGUCUUGACACUCGCUCAUCAUUCUUCAGCUUGAAAGCAUGUUUCUCAAGUGGAAAAUAAUGUUGAAGACGAGUAAGUUAAAAUUAAUGCUUGUUUGGCAUCUCCAAGCAAGAUGUUUGUCUUUCUAAGGAAGGGUUUGUUUUGUGACGAUUAUGUUCUUCUCUUGAUAAUUUAGGCAGCAUGCUAGCUGGCUUCCCACAUCAGCUUCUGAAGGGCAAGUGACUGCAUUUUCCUUCAUUGAAAGGAAUUUUAAUUGUCCUUGCCAGAAAUAGCAGGAACUCAAUGUCUUGUGCAAAAUAUUAAAAAAAUUAAAAUCAGGAUGUGAGUCAUUGUCAACAGCGGGACCCCUUUAGGUGUUCUGAGCACUCCGUAUCUUUAAUGGUGUAUGAGAUGAAAAUGAACCAAAGUGACGGGAGAAAGAAAAAAAGCCCAGCAUGCAGUAAGGGUCCAAAAUCUCUUGUGCCUUCAGCUUAGCAAUAACCUCUUUCACUUCCCAUAACUACAAGACCUUUUAUUUAAAUGAAUAUUGAAAUACAGGCAAAAUUCAUUUCAGGACAGUGUGGCAAGGAUGCUAUAUGGAAGGAACUUAUUUGAUGGCCUCUAGGGAUAGAGACCAGGAGGCUUUGCAGUUAAGCACCAAUAAAGUAUUCCCUCGCUACUUUGCAGUUCACUUUUUGCUCCCUUGCUGUUUUGUAGGUUUUCAAUUAAUAUUGAUGUACACUGGUGGUGGUGAAGUGUGUUAAAGCGCUGAGCUGCUGAACUUGCAGACCGAAAGGUCCCAGGUUCAAAUCCGGGGAGCGGAAUGAGUGCCCGCUGUUAGCUCCAGCUCCUGCCAACCUAGCAGUUCGAAAACAUGCAAAUAUGAGUAGAUCAAUAGGUACCGCUCCGGCGGGAAGGUAACGGCACUCCAUGCAGUCAUGCCGGCCACAUGACCUUGGAGGUGUCUACAGACAACGCCGGCUCUUUGGCUUAGAAAUGGAGAUGAGCACCAACCCCCAGAGUCGGUCACGACUGGAUUUAACAUCAGGGGAAAAGCUUUACCU
rnacentral:lncRNA from 1 species